rnacentral:rRNA from 1 species
CAGCCGCCGCGGGAAUACGUAGGGUGCGAGCGUUAAUCGGAAUUACUGGGCGUAAAGCGUGCGCAGGCGGUUCGUUAAGACAGAUGUGAAAUCCCCGGGCUUAACCUGGGAACUGCAUUUGUGACUGGCGAGCUAGAGUAUGGCAGAGGGGGGUAGAAUUCCACGUGUAGCAGUGAAGUGCGUAGAGAUGUGGAGGAAUACCGAUGGCGAAGGCAGCCCCCUAGGCCAAUACUGACGCUCAUGCACGAAAGCGUGGGGAGCAAACAGGAUUAGAUACCCCCGUAGUCCCUGUCUCUUAUAC